rnacentral:rRNA from 1 species
UAGGGAAUCUUCCACAAUGGGCGCAAGUCUGAUGGAGCAACGCCGCGUGAGUGAAGAAGGUCUUCGGAUCGUAAAACUCUGUUGUUAGAGAAGAACACGAGUGAGAGUAACUGUUCAUUCGAUGACGGUAUCUAACCAGCAAGUCACGGCUAACUACGUGCCAG